AGCUGCUCUUGCAACCUUGACACAUCUUGUUCAAGCGCCAACCGUCGCUCAUGCAAAGCUUGCUUCCUUCUCUCUAAGCUAGCUUGUAAAAUUGCAUUCCCUCGGGCCUCCUUCGCAAUCCUGUGUUUCAAGUCAUUUUUUGUGAUCUCAAGCCUCUGAAUAGCAAGCUCUUCUUCUCCAGAAGAAUCAACUGAUUCCACAGACGGUGUCUUUUUGGCAUUACUUCUUCCCCAGAAUGUUGACCGCUUUCCAUUGAGAUUGGAGGUUGCAACUUUACCAGCUGGUUUCUCAGCAGAUGAAUCAGGCCCAGAUAUGGGUAAAGAAGGAACAGGAACCAUUGAAGAUAGAAUUUCCCCCAUUGAUCGAUAAGAGUCACCAACAGGUGACACAUUUGAAACAUCCAUCUCUUUAAUUGAAUUAUCAUUUCCUUUCUUCGGUUUACUUGGUUGUUCUGCAAGUUGAACAUUAGGAUCUCUACUUUGGACAGGUAAGUUUGAACUGUCAGCUGGAGCAUGAUUAUUUCUUGGUGAUCCAACAUCUGAAUCAUCACCACCAAAAGCCUUAUAGUCAUAGAGAUCACUGCCAGCGUAACCACUGCUCUCACUUAAUUUUCCACUGAGCACACGUUGACCAUCAUCAUCAGUUUCUUGAUCAACUUCAUUUUCCGCAUCAUGAUAACCAUUUUCUUUCAAAUCCACAUUUUCAUCAUCAGUUGAAUCUUCACUCCCACUGUUUUCAAUCUGAGAAUCAGCAGAUAUAGAGCAUCUGUGUAGAUUUUCAUCAUCAAAAAUAUUGUCAUACUCCUCUAAAAGAGUUGUAAUGAUGGCUUGAGCAUUAUUAGCAGCAUUUGCAGCAGCAAGAAGCUGAGCAGAACUAUCACCAUUAAUAUCAAAGUCAUCCUCCAACUCACAUUCACC
rnacentral:misc_RNA from 1 species